GAGUUUGAUCCUGGCUCAGGAUGAACGCUGGCGGCGUGCCUAAUACAUGCAAGUCGAGCGAACGGACGAGAAGCUUGCUUCUCUGAUGUUAGCGGCGGACGGGUGAGUAACACGUGGAUAACCUACCUAUAAGACUGGGAUAACUUCGGGAAACCGGAGCUAAUACCGGAUGAUAUUUUGAACCGCAUGGUUCAAAAGUGAAAGACGGUCUUGCUGUCACUUAUAGAUGGAUCCGCGCUGCGUUAGCUAGUUGGUAAGGUAACGGCUUACCAAGGCAACGAUGC
rnacentral:rRNA from 1 species